rnacentral:rRNA from 1 species
AUGAAUUCUCAUGACUAUCACGUGCUGAUGACGCAGAUACUUACAGUUGCAAUCCGUGGGAUCAUGGACGCGCACGUCCGUGAAACGCUAUUUGGCCUAUGCAACUUUUUCGACGCCAUCUCUCGGAAGUCGGUUGGCGUGAGGCAACUCAGAAGGCUACAGGAAGAGAUCGUGGUGAUACUAUGCAAGCUUGAGAUGUACUUCCCGCACGCAUUCUUCGACGUUAUGGUGCAUCUGCUGGUCCAUAUCGUGGAGGAUAUCAUCCAACUCGGGCCAACGUUCCUGCACAGCAUGAUGUCAUUCGAAAGGAUGAAUGGUGUCAUCAAAGGAUACGUUCGCAACAUGGCACGUCCAGAGGGAAGCAUAGCCAGGGGCUUUCUGACCGAAGAGUGUAUCUCCUACUGCACGAAUUAUCUAGGCAUCGAGAACCCCGUUGGUCUGCCCGUCAACGGGCACCUUGGCAGGCUCGCUGGAUGGGGUCACCGUGAGGGUCGCCGUGAAAUGCAUGUCGACUUCGAGGGUCGACUCGCCGACUUUGAAAGAGCAAACCUAGUCGCGCUACAACACAUAGACGUGGUCGAUCCUUGGGUGGUAGAGCACAAAACCUUUAUUGAGAAGUCGUACAAUGACCGAGGCCAACAAAGGACAGACGGAGAUAUAAUCAAAGAGCACAACUCAUGUUUCACGCGUUGGUUCAAGCAGAAGCUUCUGUCGUACCCUUUACAUGAGGAUUCUUCCGUGGAAGAACAACUCAUAUUCGCCUUGUCAUAG